GGACUACUCGGGUUUCUAAUCCUGUUUGCUACCCUAGCUUUCGCGCCUCAGCGUCAGUAUGGGACCAGAGAGCCUCCUUCGCCACAGGUGUUCCUCCUGAUAUCUACGCAUUUCACCGCUACACCAGGAAUUCCGCCCUCCUCUACCCAACUCAAGCCUGACAGUUUCAAAUGCAAUGACCGGGUUGAGCCCGGUAAUUUCACAUCUGACUUAUCCGACCGCCUACGCGCCCUUUACGCCCAGUAAUUCCGGACAACGUUUGACACCUCUGUAUUACCGCGGCUGCUGGCAC
rnacentral:rRNA from 1 species